GUUAUACUCCCUCCAUCCCAAAAUUCUUGUCUUAAAUUUUUCUAGAUAUGUUUAAGACAAGAAUUUUGGGACGGAGGGAGUACAAG
rfam:Hordeum vulgare subsp. vulgare, WGS project CAJW01000000 data, contig: morex_contig_38454